CGAAAGCCUGACGGAGCAAUACCGCGUGAGGGAGGAAGGCUUUUGGGUUGUAAACCUCUUUUGUUAAGGAAGAAGAAAGUGACGGUACUUAACGAAUCAGCAUCGGCUAACUCCGUGCCAGCAGCCGCGGUAAUACGGAGGAUGCAAGCGUUAUCCGGAAUUAUUGGGCGUAAAGGGUCCGCAGGUGGUGGGGCAAGUCGGCGGUUAAAGACUGGGGCUUAACUCCAGAAAGGCCGUGGAAACUGCACCACUAGAGGGCAGUAGGGGUAGAGGGAAUUCCCGGUGUAGCGGUGAAAUGCGUAGAUAUCGGGAAGAACACCAGUGGCGAAGGCGCUCAACUGGGCCGUAACUGACACUCAGGGACGAAAGCUAGGGGAGCG
rnacentral:rRNA from 1 species